AACGAACGCUGGCGGCAUGCCUAACACGUGCAAGUCGAACGAGACCUUCGGGUCUAGUGGCGCACGGGUGCGUAACGCGUGGGAACCUGCCCUUAGGUUCGGAAUAACUCCCCGAAAGGGGUGCUAAUACCGGAUAAUGUCUUCGGACCAAAGAUUUAUCGCCUUUGGAUAGGCCCGCGUUGGAUUAGCUAGUUGGUAGGGUAAAAGCCUACCAAGGCGACGAUCCAUAGCUGGUCUGAGAGGAUGAUCAGCCACACUGGGACUGAGACACGGCCCAGACUCCUACGGGAGGCAGCAGUGGGGAAUAUUGGACAAUGGGCGAAAGCCUGAUCCAGCAAUGCCGCGUGAGUGAUGAAGGCCUUAGGGUUGUAAAGCUCUUUUACCCGGGAUGAUAAUGACAGUACCGGGAGAAUAAGCUCCGGCUAACUCCGUG
rnacentral:rRNA from 1 species